rnacentral:rRNA from 1 species
UACAGAGGGUGCAAGCGUUGUUCGGAAUUACUGGGCGUAAAGCGCGUGUAGGCGGCGGUGUAAGUCGGAUGUGAAAGCCCUCAGCUCAACUGAGGAAGUGCACCCGAUACUGCAUUGCUUGAGUGCCGGAGGGGAUGGCGGAAUUCCCGGUGUAGAGGUGAAAUUCGUAGAUAUCGGGAGGAACACCUGUGGCGAAGGCGGCCAUCUGGACGGUGACUGACGCUGAGACGCGAAAGAGUGGGUAGCAAACAGG